rnacentral:lncRNA from 1 species
GAUAUGCAAGAACAAACCGAAAGGAUUAUAAGAAAGAUUAGCAUUUGUUCGCCAAGAUGAUCCAUAAAGAUUGGUUAUGCGGUUUGAUUGAAAUGAGGUGAGAAUUUACAAAUGAUAACUACCUGGGAUUAAAUAGGAAGGGUCUUCAAUUGGAUUACGAAAAGGAUCUUUUUGCUAGAGAAUUUCAUACCAUUCCGGGAAUGGAGAGCACAGAUGUUAUAGGCUCAAGGGGUUUCUUUAGGAAAGGAUAUUUUGAGGCAUUUCGCCAUUCAGGCCAUCCAAAUGUCUUUUUUAAUGUGGCAUUUCUUUCUCACUAAUUAGUGCACUUUAAAAUUAUAAUAAAUAACUCAGGUUUAUAAAACCAAGAUAUAGAUCAGUAUUUUCACACACUAAAAUAUUAUUGAAGAUUGUGUUAAUGCGAUAUCAAAUUGUGUCUAUAUUAUACAUCCAUGUGUAUGUACUAGUGUAUAUGUCAAACUAUGGCAUAGCAUGUGCUGACAACUGACUUGUUUGGUUUGACUAUAAACAACAAAGCCAACAUUUAUUUUUUAGUUCACGGCACAAGACAAAUCCAGAUAUUGAGAGAGUAGUUAUGAUGAUAAGUGUCCUUUUUAUAUCACAACAUUCUAGCUAGGGUAGCAUGGAAUACAGAAAACAUAGACUUAUAGUAACACUUAGUUCAGUCUGCAAAAAUCAUGAGUUCUAUGGAAGGCUGUAUCACUCCAAACCACCAGAUUCGGGGCGUACCGAGCCAUGCCGAAGGCAGACCAGUACGAUUCCGCCCCUUAGUUUGAGAAACCGGUGAGAGAGGAGAGAGAGGAAAGGAGGGAGGGAGAGGGGGCAACGGAGGGAGAGGGAGAGAGUAAGAGAGACAGAGAUAGCUUUCGAAGAAAAAAAAACAAAAGACAGCCGAAGCACUUGUUUCAUUUCAAAAGAGGGGCACUGCCCCUGUUACAGUGCUUCAGAGGAGAGGGGG